AGUGAACGCUGGCGGUAGACCUAACACAUGCAAGUCGAACGGCAGCACAGUAAGAGCUUGCUCUUACGGGUGGCGAGUGGCGGACGGGUGCGGAGUACAUCGGAAUCUACUUUUUCGUGGGGGAUAACGUAGGGAAACUUACGCUAAUACCGCAUACGACCUACGGGUGAAAGCAUGGGAUCUUCGGACCUUGCGCGAUUGAAUGAGCCGAUGUCGGAUUAGCUAGUUGGCGGGGUAAAGGCCCACCAAGGCGACGAUCCGUCGCUGGUCUGAGAGGAUGAUCAGCCACACUGGAACUGAGACACGGACCAGACUCCUACGGGAGGCAGCAGUGGGGAAUAUUGGACAAUGGGCGCAAGCCUGAUCCAGCCAUACCGCGUGGGUGAAGAAGGCCUUCGGGUUGUAAAGCCCUUUUGGUGGGAAAGAAAAGCAGUAGGUUAAUACCCCGCUGUUCUGACGGUACCCAAAGAAUAAGCACCGGCUAACUUCGUG
rnacentral:rRNA from 1 species